rnacentral:tRNA from 1 species
UGUAUUUUAGUUUAUAGGAACAUAAAGGUUUGAUCUUUGAGGAAGUGGUGGAAUUCCAUUAAAUAUAA